CCUACGGGUGGCAGCAGUGGGGAAUAUUGGACAAUGGGGGCAACCCUGAUCCAGCCAUGCCGCGUGUGUGAAGAAGGCCCUCGGGUUGUAAAGCACUUUCAGUGAGGAAGAACGCCUGGUGGUUAAUACCCAUCAGGAAAGACAUCACUCACAGAAGAAGCACCGGCUAACUCCGUGCCAGCAGCCGCGGUAAUACGGAGGGUGCGAGCGUUAAUCGGAAUUACUGGGCGUAAAGCGCGCGUAGGUGGCUUGAUAAGCCGGUUGUGAAAGCCCCGGGCUCAACCUGGGAACGGCAUCCGGAACUGUCAAGCUAGAGUGCAGGAGAGGAAGGUAGAAUUCCCGGUGUAGCGGUGAAAUGCGUAGAGAUCGGGAUGAAUACCAGUGGCGAAGGCGGCCUUCUGGACUGACACUGACACUGAGGUGCGAAAGCGUGGGUAGCAAACAGGAUUAGAUACCCUGGUAGUC
rnacentral:rRNA from 1 species